AUCAAAGUAGCCAUUUACCUAGUUUUCUACGGCUUCCUGAGACCACAAGAGUUUACUGUGGUCCGUCAAACGGAUAUCAGCUCCUGUUUAAAACUAUCGGACAUAACCAAAAACGGUGACCAUUACAUGAUGUCUCUACACUCAUCUAAAACCAAUCACACAAACUACCCAACUACAAUCCUCCCUGUUUCCUACAGAGAACCUCUGGUGUCCCGUUAAAAU